rnacentral:lncRNA from 1 species
CACGAUCACAUAAUUUCAAAAUAAGUGGGAUCCAUAUGCCUAACCGUUAUAAAUAAUUACCAACAACUCAUCUAUAAAAGGGAGGUAAAUGAACAGCAUUGGUAAGAUGCUUUUGGAUUGAGACUCUGCUACUUUGAAUAUUUUAUCUAUUGUUCACUACUCCUUACUGACUUAAGCAUCGGAGAAUCUCUGUCGGACAUAAUUUUGGUCAGUAGACUUCUUUUGU